rnacentral:rRNA from 1 species
AGCUCCAAUAGCGUAUAUUUAAGUUGCUGCAGUUAAAAAGCUCGUAGUUGGAUUUCGGAUGGGUUCCGCCGGUCCGCCGUUUCGGUGUGCACUGACGGCGCCCAUCUUGCUGCCGGGGACGGGCUCCUGGGCUUCACUGUCCGGGACUCGGAGUCGGCGAGGUUACUUUGAGUAAAUUAGAGUGUUCAAAGCAGGCCUACGCUCUGAAUACAUUAGCAUGGAAUAACACGAUAGGACUCUGGCCUAUCUUGUUGGUCUGUAGGACCGGAGUAAUGAUUAAGAGGGACAGUCGGGGGCAUUCGUAUUUCAUUGUCAGAGGUGAAAUUCUUGGAUUUAUGAAAGACGAACUACUGCGAAAGCAUUUGCCAAGGAUGUUUUCA